rnacentral:rRNA from 1 species
GUUGGUGGAAAUAAGUUGGGUGUUCACCUCUUUCCAUCCCGAACAGAGCCGUUAAGCCCCAAGCUGCCGAUGGUACUGCCUUCACCGGCGGGAGAGUAGGUCACUGCCACCU